UAGGGAAUCUUCCACAAUGGACGCAAGUCUGAUGGAGCAACGCCGCGUGAGUGAAGAAGGCUUUCGGGUCGUAAAACUCUGUUAUUGAAGAAGAACGUGCGUGACAGUAACUGGUCAUGCAGUGACGGUAUUCAAUCAGAAAGUCACGGCUAACUACGUGCCAGCAGCCGCGGUAAUACGUAGGUGGCAAGCGUUGUCCGGAUUUAUUGGGCGUAAAGCGAGUGCAGGCGGUCUUUUAAGUCUGAUGUGAAAGCCUUCGGCUUAACCGAAGAAGGGCAUCGGAAACUGGGAGACUUGAGUGCAGAAGAGGAGAGUGGAACUCCAUGUGUAGCGGUGAAAUGCGUAGAUAUAUGGAAGAACACCAGUGGCGAAGGCGGCUCUCUGGUCUGUAACUGACGCUGAGGCUCGAAAGCGUGGGUAGCAAACAGGAUUAGAUACCCUGGUAGUCCACGCCGUAAACGA
rnacentral:rRNA from 1 species